GAGCAGAGCUCCACUCACGUGGACGUUGAGGGAGCGGAUGAUGCCCUGUUGAGGAAUUUCCACACACACGUCCAGUUGCUGGAUCAGAUUUGCUGGAAUUCCUUCCCGUUCAUUUCUGAUUCAGAAAAAUGGGAGAAGAAAGAUAAUCGAUCAGCUGAGGUGGUUUUACCUUAAUAUUCGUUUACAAAGAGCAGAAUAUUAAAUCAUUCACUUACAGCCCUCCUGGGGGUAAAAUCAGUUAAAGAAAAAACACUUUCAUGAAACUGAAAUUUGUUAAAAGGAAAGGGACAGAAUUAUACACUAUGAAAAAGAACGCUCCCAACAUCUCAUAAAUUUAUCAAACGAGAGUGACUUAUAACAGGACACAUUUUACUGAAAAGAAUUCUACAUUAUUGAUUUCUAAAAAUACAACAGUGUGAAAGAUAAGAACAGGAGAACAGAGUGGGCUGUAGUUUACUUUUCAGUAUUAUUUUUAAGCCAUCAAAGGCUGGACUACUGCAAAAGGGUUGAUAACGUGAAGACAGAGUACUACAAAAGAGUCUAGCAAACGAAAAUUUUAAUAAUACAUCACUAUGCGCCCACCUCCACUAAAGGAAGCCACUGUUCUGCUGAAACGCUGAGGUGCUGAAACUGCUUGUCUCUGAUGCACUGAAGGCUGCCAACCACGAGCGCCGAGGCCCCGAACACCUCACAGGUCCGGCACAGCCCUGCACAGGACAAGCCGGGGUUACUGCCGCCAGUCUAAGGCCAAGUUCACUAGGUCCCAGGCAUUCCUCUGAAGCUCCCGGAGAGGGGGAAAUGUGGAAGAGGCCACAAAUGGCACUGGGUCAAUUACAAAUUUUCGGGAUCAGAAGAUGUCAAGCAAGCCCAGUGGAAACUCUAACUUUACCUCCUAAGUUGGUUGGUUUGUCAACGAGUGAGGCCACUACAAUCAGUCUGCUGAGUGACUUCCCAAGUUUGGCCGCACGAUCCUGAAAUACCAGCUCCAGGUCUAAGUCGGGAACAUUGUUUCUCCAUGGGAUAAUCUUCUUCUGAACAUCACUCCACUCUGACUCGUUAUCUGCUUCGCCUGAGUUAGAACCUGGGAAAGAAAAAGAAAAUAUAAAUCUCCCUCUCUAUUGAUUUACAUGCAUAUAUACUUUUUUAAGAGCUUAAAAUGAUAGUUUAGAAUGAGAUUCAUUGACUAAAGAACUUUACUUGGAUUCAGAUACAAUUGUCAUUUUCGGUAACAGUUUAAAAUGUUCAGAUUCUACCCUGCUAACCAAAAUACGACAAUAUUUCAUGAAAAUCAAAGAUGCACAUUUUUUUCCAUUUUGGCAUACCCCAAAUUGGGAAGCAUCUUAGAAUCCACAAGGGUACCAUGGGUUUGGCAGCAUUUUUUUCUUAGAGUUACAUAAAAUAAUGGCGUAUCUUACAAACAGUGGUGUUAUUAGAUUGGAAUUUUCUGUAGAAAUAUUGUAUGCCGGAAAACAACAAUCAGGCUUUAUCUUAAAUUAUCUUCCAAGUACUUGGGGGACCUUUUCUAAAAACGAGGACUGUUCUUUGGAGCAGUUAUCUCUUGGCUACCGCGAUGAGUACACGGUGUUACUGAGCUGUCUAAUGUGCGUUGUGAUCUCUAGUUCAGGACUGAGACUCUCCUUCCAGGCUUUCCUUCCCACUCCAGACCUGACUGAGCAAACGGGGGCACUUAGGUUACUGGGGAGGGAAGAGACACGCAUGGAACCACGACCGACGCAGGAGGGCUCAGGGAAGGGAGUGUAAAAGUCUGCAAAGGAGAGCGCGUGGGAAGGGCGGGGCAGACUGUGGACACGUUCCGCAGGAGCAGACGCGCGGAAGGACACGGACUCAGGCAUCGCUCACAGCCUGCAGUGGAGGGAGGGACGUGACUCAGACCAGGCCGUUAGGGCUUUGUGUAUAAAAUGAUAAAGAAUUUCUUCUACAGACAGGAGGCAGUACAGGGUUUUAAGAAAGGGGGUAACAGUACUGGUUUUGUGUUGCAGAAAAAACCCCUCUUAAAAACGAAUGUGGAGGAUAAGUGGGGAGGGAAAACCACCGAGAGGCUUUCACACUAGCCCAAAAAAGACAAAAACAGUCUCUGCAAGAGGGGCUGAAGAGGAAGGGCAGAAUCGCCAAGAUCUGAUAGCGGACGGAUGUGGCUAGAGGGACCGCAGAAGAAUGACUCCUGUGAGACCACUAACAGGAAGGGGAUUAGAAGAGGCGCGUCUGGGCAGAAAGGUAACGUGGAUUUGGAUACUGAGUUUAAAGAGCUUAUAGAUGAGCUAGUGAAAGCGUGUAGAAGGCUCAGGAAGGAGGCUGGCCAGAGAUAAGGAUCUGAAAGUUGCAGUUACAUAGGUGGUGGUUUCCAGUUGUGGGAAUUAAUAAAAAACGUGCAGGGAGAGCAAACAGAAUGAGAAGAAAACCAGGCCAAUGAAAGCAUUUAGCAUUCACAUCUCAGCAGAGAAACCCUGUUGCAAUAUCCCCCUCUUUACCAAAAACAAACAAAAACAGAAAGACCUCUGUAGCCUUCUCCCCACCCAGUAACUCCCCACUUCUCUGCCCCACUCACGCCAUGGCAGAAGUCAGACAAGAUGUGCAGAUGUGCGGCUCCCCUCUCCUCCCCUCCCGGUCAGGCGGGCCCCUCCGCCCUGAGAAGGCCCCUGUCACUGUCUUUUGCCCCCAAAUCCACAUUUGCUCUUCCCCAGGCUUUGCCUGACUUGCUGUCACUUCAUGUAGCCUCUGCUCGAUGUCAGCUCCUUAAAAAGGUCUUUUUAAUCCUCUCUCACACUCCUUGCUCAGCUUUCUUUUCUCCAUACUACCUGACAUCUUAUCUGUCUGUUUAGGGUUGUCCCCCUGGAGGAAUGUAAGCGCCCUGAGGGCAGGGCCUUUGUCUUUUGUUCAGCACACAGGGGGCAAUAAGUAAAUCUUUGUUGACCGAGUAAAUAAAUUUAAGGUGAUAGUCUUAAAAUGAACCACCUAAAGUAUUUGAUUAAAAAAACGCACUUUCCUAGAACUCUCCUCCAGACAAAAACCUAAGGGUGGGACCCAAGAAUCUGCACUUUCAACAUGAUGUCCAAGGGAUUCCUGAAAACACUAAAAUUUGAGAGAACUAUAAAUAUAAGGGACGAGGGAGGGGAACUCAAAGGAGAGUGAGAAAAGUCAGACUGAGGAGAAAAAUCCGGAGAGCAAGAAAUGAGCAAAUAAAUGCUACACAGGGUCAGGUAUGGUAAGAAAAGAGCAUCUGUUUAGAUUUUGUAAGGAAGUAGACAAAGACAAUUUCUGCUUUUCUGAAAGAAGUUUCCAUGAUGCUUAUGGGCUGGGGAAGCCAGAAGGAGGACACAAUGUGAGUGACAGAAAUGCUGAGAAUGCAGAUCGCUACUACACAUCUCUUAAGGUUAGCUGUGAUUUUAAAAGUGGGCGGGAGACUUGUUCCCCCGUUUUUUGGGGCAGCUGGACUGUGAAGGGAAGGAGGAGGACGGGAAGUAACAGAGGGAAAAGGGGGGGGUCCUUGAGAAAGCUGCAGGGAAGGAUGGGGGCGGGGGCACGUGAAAGGAGGGCUGGAGCCAUAGGGAAAAGAGGGGUAAGAGAUGAGUGAUGUUCGGCCAGACCGAGGAGGGAAUGCAGAGCUCUGCUUCACUCCCAAAUAGGAAAAGAAAAGAGAUUUCUUAAUUUGGCCCUUUUUAAUAUCUAUAUUUUUUCAGAAAUAUAUAGUAGAAGAGCAAUGAAUAUUAAUUAUCAAUACUUCAAAGAAGACAGAAGCCUUUAGCUUUAUAUAGUAAAGCAGAUUAAGCUCUCUUUGGCUAUUAAGAGCAAAGCCAACGUCAACUGAAAGUACUAGUCAGAGUGACACCACGCCUUCUGUCUUUUCUCUAAGUGGAGCAGAAUUCACCACAUCAAUGAAAAAUGGUACUAUCAACCACCUAUUCUAAAUAACGUGAAUCAAUAAGCCUGACCAAGGCAACAGGGAGAACAAGUAAAACAGAAGUUUUUCUUACCUAUGUCCUGCUGGGACCAGUCACCUGGUUUUAGUUCACAAAGUUGAGCUGGAGAAAGGUACCACUGAAAUCUUGCAUCUAAAGGAAUGUCAGUGAACCUGGUGAAUUUACCAAUGGCAAUCCAUUCGUCCUCAACAAGGCCAGAAAGGCGUGGAAGGAUAUAAAAUAUGGUCUGAAAGGAGAAUUGUAAACAUCUAAAUUUUCUUCCCUUAAAAAUAACAAAGAAAUACAUGAUAACAUGUUUAAAGUACAACUUAAUUAUUAUUACUGAUGCGUUCUCCCAAACUAUCACAUCUGAUCAAAUGACAUACUUUCAUUUAUAUCUUGUAGCAACUGUCUAUCUAUACUUCUUAUCUUCUCUAAGACAUUAAGGGAUUAAUUUAGGAAAUCCUUGAGAGCGGGCAGAUCUUCCACUCCAGUAUUUCUAACUGUAUGUAGCAUAGUAUACACCAUGCUCUUAAUACAAGCAAGAAGUGUUUUGGAAUUAAUUAGCAUUCAUGUUGGACAACAUUUGGAUAAAUGCUAUUUAUUGACAACCAGACACCUCCAUAAGCAAUCAGAUUCAAGCUCCUGUGAUGCCCGAUCUUCACUCUCGCUGCCAAUAUACAAAUUUAGAGUCUAGAUGUUGCCUCGACUGUAUCUUAGCUGUGUGACGUUAGACAAGCCAUUAGCCUCUCUCAGCUUCAACUUCCUCACUGGCAAAAUGAGGGUAAAAUCAGGUGAAAAGAGCACAUGAAAGUGAUCUGUAAACUGCACAGUGUGACACCACUGUGAACAGCAGUUAUUCAGUCACUACAUGACAAUCCUCCUCCCCUUUUCUUACCUAUGACAAGAAAACUGAGAUCCAGAUAACCCUCAAAUGUGAAAAGGCAGAGGAGUCAGAAGCACAGCAGGCAAUUUACAAAUAAAGUAAUAAACUUAUAACAAUGUCCAAGUCUUCAUAAAAUUUUUAGAAUGAAUAUGGUUUUCUCUUUAUUUGCAAUAUUUGUGCAAAUUGAAACUGGCAUGAUGAAUGCAACUGUUCAUUAAGUACGUACCAAGUAUAGCUCCAAAUGUACAGAGAAACAGAGUUCUUGUGUGCCAUUAUUUUGAUAUGUACAGUUAUGGUUCGUAUAAUUAAUAGAGAAUAAAAUAUAUAAAACAUACGAGGGUGAGGCAGUCAAAGUCAGGAUGAAGGAAAAGUGGAAGCAAGGGACUUACUCCUGCUGGAGAACUGAAUAGAAAAGGCUGACUUAGCACUAGAGAGUUAUUAAGAGUCCUUCAGAAAGAUGUCAAACAAAGCAUUCUGGGCGCUAAAGGACACAGAACAGAGCACGUUAAAAUAUUUGAAAAAUCCUAAAUAAUUUUUGCAAUGAAGCAACAAAGUACACAAUAAUGUUUUAUGAUGACUAUCUCACAACAUAUAGAUCUGUAUUUUUUUUUAAAGGCCAGCUUAUUAGUAAUUCACACACACACACACACAACCCAACAACAACAAAAAACUGCUUAUGCAUGGUAGCUGAAGUUUCUGAUACUUCCAGAUUCCUAGAUCACGUUUUAAAUUCCAAGGCUGUAACUGUAGUCGAAAAAGGGAGAAAGUAAUAUAUGUACCAAUUUUAAUAAUCUGUAUAUUAAUUCACAUGCUAACUGUAAUAAGUAUAAAGGAAUUAUAUAAGCACAUUCUGUUAGGAUCACUGAGAUGGUGGGUCAUCUGCUAUACAAUUCCAGCCAUCCAGAACCUAAAACAGGCACUUAACAAAAGAGUAGAUCUUCUCGCUCUUUCAUAACAGUGGGCUUCGUUCGUUACAACAGAUCUCACCUGCACAAAUGUUCUCACUCAUUUCCUUUUAAUGUCAGAACAGAUUUCUGUUCAGAGUUAAAUAUUCCCCCUUCCAGUGUUUACAAGCCAGACACUGCCUGAGAAACAGAAAGUGAAAAUGACUAGCCAGUUUUCACUGCUGAAGAGUGAAGCGCAAGCAGCCGUGACAAAAUUACACGGAGCACUUUACGACCGUGAAGGCGGUGCUGUAAGGACAGUUAACCUCAGUACACCUUCCACAACCGGGGCAGAAAGGAAGCACGGGGACUAAAGAUACGGAAGAGAGUCGUUCGCAAAUGAGACCCUCUGCUCACCUCCAGACAGUAGUCCUUAAGUGGGUGGAACGCUGCAAAAAAGAAAUGCUCCUGGAUCCGUUGCCAAUUCUUCUUCGCGUUCCUAAGUGGUAAAGAUACAUGUGAGGUACAGACUAGUGAACCCACUCUGGUAAGGGGGAAAGCCAAGUAGCUCUCUUAAAGAGGCACCGCAGAAUUUAGAAUGCAUGGAAAAUCUUGUGAAUUUUAUCCCAAGAUUUAUAACCCCUAUCUCCAAGAUCAGCGUCCUUAAAAGCUGACCCUAAAUCUGACGUUUUGAAGUGAAAGUCAAAGACAGACAAAGAAAUUAAAUAACUCUCACAGUCCUACGUCAAACAAUGACUCAACAAGAAUGAAACUCAGGUCUCCACUCCAUCGAGGAGACAGUCGUCAGUCAACAGACAACGAUGGGAAAAUCUCACAGGAACAGCUGCCGCAGGUACAACUCCCUUGCUUGGGCAAAAAGAAUUCUAAAAGGGAACCAUGUAAGAAAUCUAGGCUGGGAUCCUUAUGUCUCUCUCUGGCCAUAAAUGCUUUUUUUUUUUUUUUUUUUUUUUCCCUUCAGGAGAGAAAAUCGUUACAUAAGUUACUUUUUUGUUUCUGGCUGCGCCGCGCAGCAUGUGGGAUCUCAGUUCCCCGACCAGGGACUGCCCACUGCAGUGGAAGCGCGGAGUCUUAACCUCGGGACUGCCAGGGAAGUCCACGUAAGUCACGUUUUCUACCCUGAAGAUCCAUGACACGCAGCCAAACUGUACCAACUUUUGUUAAGCCAGGUGAAAGUAAGGGGUUUUAAAUACUUAGGUACAUACUCACAAACAACAAAAACCAAAAAUUUGUCAAGUUUUAGAAGGCAAAAGGAGGGAGGAAUAAAAGUGACAAAACGUGGCCACCGGCAGGUUUCAGUUUAAAUUCAUGACCGACAACCCAAAAGCUGAGCAACAAUUUCAAGAUGCCCUCCCGGUGAGAUCAUUCUCCUGCUCUGGCCAGCGUACCUCCUUCACCCCCGAGUUCCCAGCCCCUCCUGUCACUGCCGGUUGGGCCUCAACAUCAGCGGGGUGAGGAGAGGAGACCUGAGAUGAGAGACUGGCCCCUCCUUAUGCACCUGUCUUCUCUGCCCCUUGGCUUUCAAGGGUCUCUUCAAAGGACAGCACCCCAACGUGUGUCCGAGCUCCCAUCCCCCUGGGUUUUGCUACUGAGUCGUGCACCCCAACCUACUCCAUCACAGCAGCGGUGUUGUAUCUGUUUGAUACUGAGCAUCUGACUAGGAUUUUGUUUGGGGAAUAGAGAAGUUCUCUUAGAAAAGAAAAAGGCAAGAGCUUCCAGCUUUAACCCGGACAUCUGAGGGGUUAUGAGCAUGGCUUUAGAGUCCGGUCAUGCUACUUCUCAGCAGUUCUUUGACAACAGAGGAUGAAAACAUUUGGCUACGCUGAAGAGAAACGUCUAGAGGUCCCUAAAUUAAAGAUCAAGGAUUAAAGAGCAAAAAAAAGAAAAAGAAGAGAGAUCAAUGACGGAGCUGACAGCACUUAGAACUGUAAUUAAACUGCACAUCAAAUAGUGAGCUGCUUAAAUGCUGCUUAAUCCGAGCUCUGUGCACUGCAGCAUGAUGCGCUAAACAGGAGCUGCUAAAAGCUGGGCACCCUCUAUGCCCUCUCUGCACACAAUGCUGGACCGAGGGGAAGGGGACAAGGCCUGCUUACCCUGCUCCAUGCAUGUUUUCCACUUGAUUCAGACUGGAUUCAAUAACGGAAGUCAAAGCAUCAAGUUCUUCAACGUGCAAUGUCUUACACAUGCUCCAGAUUUUCUUAAGAGCAACUAAGGCAUACAGUCGAAUGCUAAAAUUGUGAUUAAAACACCAGUGCAGUACGACAAUAAGGGCUUGCUUCAGAAUGAGUUUCUGAAAAGGAGAAACAUUCUUCAGAUGUAAACAUGGACCACUUUACCCUUGACUGUAUGACCAAGAACAAGGAGUACAGGUGACAAAAAUGCUACAAAGUAAAAUCUUAUUUCACUGUUUUUGCAUCGUCAUUCUCAGACAGAUACACUGGCAGGAGUGAUUUCCUCAAGAAGGAAAAGUAUCUUCCCAGCUCUUUAGUUUUUAUUUACCAUGCUGCCACACAUGUUCUCCCCCAUACUCCAGUACCGAGGUUAAUCUGAAUGAAGUACUUUCAUGCUAACCACUGUAUGACCAGUGUUUUAAAGAAGUCUCCAUCACUUAUUACCUUACCAUGGGCUGAAAAAGUUAGAAAUAUUAAGUGAACUUGAGCAAGGUACCUCAUAAAAUGCUGUUUUGCCCUGG